GCGGGGUUUCACCAUGUUGGUCAGGGUGGUCUUGAUCUCUUGACCUUGUGAUCCGCCCGCCUUGGCCUCCCAAAGUGUUGGGAUUACAGGCGUGAGACACAGUGCCCAGCCUAGAAUAUUUCAUAAAUGUAGCAAAUUGGCUUUAGGGAACUUUUUCUGCUUCCAGCAUUCAGCAGCUAUUUGAAGGGUUUUGGAAGCAAAGGAAUGGAGGGAGACAGGACGGCACCCUGAGGGAGACGCAGGGCUGAACGGAGCUGUUCGGGGAUAGCUGUGGCUUGAGUGGGUCUGUUGGCUGAAAGGAGGGAUUCGUUGAAGAAGGAGCAAUGGACGAGGUGAGAGAGAGGAUACUGGAUGGAACCAGGUUUCAGAGGAGGCUGAUGGGAGAAUGUGAGGAGCACCAAAGCGAGCCUUAGGAAAAAGAAGUUCAGACAGACAGACACUUCGGUAAACCACAGCUCCCAGUAUUCACCACUGUGUGUAGUCUCCUCCCACACUGACUCUGGGCUUGGUCAGCUGACAAGCUUUGGCCAAUAGGGCUCUAGCAAGAAGAUGCCAGCAGAGGCUUGAAAAGUGCCUACCCCUGGCCUGGGAUGCUUCCUCCUGGGAUGCUCCCACUUGGAACCCAACUAUUGUGCUGCAGAAGUUUAACUUAACUGUGUAAGGAGGCCAAGAGGAGGCCCUGGCUGCCAGCCAGCAUCAACUUCCAGUGACGUGAGUGUGCCAUUCUGGAACUGGAUCCUGCAGCCUCGGUGGAGCAGCCUCAGCUGAUGCCAUGUGGAACAGAGAUGAACUGCCGCUGCCGAGCUCUGCCCACGUUGCAGAAUCAUGAGCAAAUAUGUUGUGGAUUGGCUGUAACUCUGCUCUGGGAUCCAGGCUGAAGGAGCAGGCUCUAUCUGGAACAUUACUAGUCUCCAGGCAGAAGAAAAAGAGACAAUGAAGAAGAAAUAAAACAAACUUCUACAUGGCAAAAUAAACCUCUACAUGGCAAAAUAAACCUCUACAUGGCAAAAUAAACCUCUACAUGGAUAGAGAUCUGUCUCAGACACAUUUUGGUUUCCAUGACUUCUGAAUGGCAGCAUGAGGAGCUCCAUGAACCCUCUCCCCAGUGAAAUGACCAUAAUCUCUGGAAAUUGCUUAAGAUCAAAGCCACAACUAUUUAAAGCCUUUGGAAAUUGUUUUAUGGGGAUGCGGCAAAUUAAUAAACUUUUAUUCAAG
rnacentral:lncRNA from 10 species